rnacentral:tRNA from 1 species
GUCCCCGUAGCGCAACGGAUAGCGCGUUGGCCUCCGGAGCCAAAGGUUGCAGGUUCGAAUCCCGCCGGGGACG